rnacentral:rRNA from 1 species
ACGAACGCUGGCGGCGUGCUUAACACAUGCAAGUCGAACGGAAAGGCCCUGCUUGCAGGGUACUCGAGUGGCGAACGGGUGAGUAACACGUGGGUGAUCUGCCCUGCACUUCGGGAUAAGCCUGGGAAACUGGGUCUAAUACCGGAUAGGAGCCAUUUUUAGUGUGAUGGUUGGAAAGUUUUUUCGGUGUAGGAUGAGCUCGCGGCCUAUCAGCUUGUUGGUGGGGUAAUGGCCUACCAAGGCGGCGACGGGUAGCCGGCCUGAGAGGGUGGACGGCCACAUUGGGACUGAGAUACGGCCCAGACUCCUACGGGAGGCAGCGGUGGGGAAUAUUGCACAAUGGGCGCAAGCCUGAUGCAGCGACGCCGCGUGGGGGAUGACGGCCUUCGGGUUGUAAACUCCUUUCGCUAGGGACGAAGCUUUUUGUGACGGUACCUAGAUAAGAAGCACCGGCUAACUACGCG